rnacentral:rRNA from 1 species
GACGAACGCUGGCGGCGUGCCUAAUACAUGCAAGUAGAACGCUGAAGGAGGAGCUUGCUUCUCUGGAUGAGUUGCGAACGGGUGAGUAACGCGUAGGUAACCUGCCUGGUAGCGGGGGAUAACUAUUGGAAACGAUAGCUAAUACCGCAUAAGAGUAGAUGUCGCAUGACAUUUGCUUAAAAGGUGCAAUUGCAUCACUACCAGAUGGACCUGCGUUGUAUUAGCUAGUUGGUGAGGUAACGGCUCACCAAGGCAACGAUACAUAGCCGACCUGAGAGGGGGAUCGGCCACACUGGGACUGUGACACGGCCCAGACUCAUACGGGAGGCAGCAGUAGGGAAUCUUCGGCAAUGGACGGAAGACUGACCGCGCAACGCCGCGUGAGUGAAGAAGGUCUUCGGAUCGUAAAGCUCUGUUGUAAGAGAAGAACGAGUGUGAGAGUGGAAAGUUCACACUGUGACGGUACCUUACCAGAAAGGGACGGCUAACUACGUG